AGGAGGAUUUAUACACGCCGUAGUCCACCGUUCUGGCGAACUGUGGAUUGCAAACUUCACACACCUUUAAGAUCAUUAUGGAGAACUGUUAGGCAUGUAGGUUUCCUCACGACAUUUUCCUUCACCAUUAAAGCACGUGAUAUUUAAUAACUUAA